rnacentral:rRNA from 1 species
GUGCAGCAGGCGCGAAAACUUCACAAUGUGCGAAAGCACGAUGAGGGAAUCCCAAGUGCUUGCACGUAAGUGUAAGCUGCUUCUCUGUCUAAAAACGCAGAGAGAGUAAGGGCUGGGGUAAGACGGGUGCCAGCCGCCGCGGUAAUACCUGCAGCUCGAGUGGUGACCGUUAUUAUUGGGCCUAAAACGUCCGUAGCCGGUUUAAUAAAUGCCUGGGUAAAUCGUCUGGCCCAACCAGACGAAUUCCGGGUAGACUGCCGGGGCUAGGGGACCGGAGGAGGGAGAGGGGUACUCCAGGGGUAGGGUGAAAAUCAGCAAGGUGAGUUGCUGAUGUAACUUGCCUUGCAAGUCACAAUCCUGUAAUCCCU